GGGUUGUGAGGUUAAGCGACUAAGCGUACACGGUGGAUGCCCUGGCAGUCAGAGGCGAUGAAGGACGUGCUAAUCUGCGAUAAGCGUCGGUAAGGUGAUAUGAACCGUUAUAACCGGCGAUUUCCGAAUGGGGAAACCCAGUGUGAUUCGUCACACUAUCAUUAACUGAAUCCAUAGGUUAAUGAGGCGAACCGGGGGAACUGAAACAUCUAAGUACCCCGAGGAAAAGAAAUCAACCGAGAUUCCCCCAGUAGCGGCGAGCGAACGGGGAGCAGCCCAGAGCCUGAAUCAGUGUGUGUGUUAGUGGAAGCGUCUGGAAAGGCGCGCGAUACAGGGUGACAGCCCCGUACACAAAAAUGCACAUGCUGUGAGCUCGAUGAGUAGGGCGGGACACGUGGUAUCCUGUCUGAAUAUGGGGGGACCAUCCUCCAAGGCUAAAUACUCCUGACUGACCGAUAGUGAACCAGUACCGUGAGGGAAAGGCGAAAAGAACCCCGGCGAGGGGAGUGAAAAAGAACCUGAAACCGUGUACGUACAAGCAGUGGGAGCCUCUUUAUGGGGUGACUGCGUACCUUUUGUAUAAUGGGUCAGCGACUUAUAUUCUGUAGCAAGGUUAACCGAAUAGGGGAGCCGAAGGGAAACCGAGUCUUAACUGGGCGUUAAGUUGCAGGGUAUAGACCCGAAACCCGGUGAUCUAGCCAUGGGCAGGUUGAAGGUUGGGUAACACUAACUGGAGGACCGAACCGACUAAUGUUGAAAAAUUAGCGGAUGACUUGUGGCUGGGGGUGAAAGGCCAAUCAAACCGGGAGAUAGCUGGUUCUCCCCGAAAGCUAUUUAGGUAGCGCCUCGUGAACUCAUCUCCGGGGGUAGAGCACUGUUUCGGCAAGGGGGUCAUCCCGACUUACCAACCCGAUGCAAACUGCGAAUACCGGAGAAUGUUAUCACGGGAGACACACGGCGGGUGCUAACGUCCGUCGUGAAGAGGGAAACAACCCAGACCGCCAGCUAAGGUCCCAAAGUCAUGGUUAAGUGGGAAACGAUGUGGGAAGGCCCAGACAGCCAGGAUGUUGGCUUAGAAGCAGCCAUCAUUUAAAGAAAGCGUAAUAGCUCACUGGUCGAGUCGGCCUGCGCGGAAGAUGUAACGGGGCUAAACCAUGCACCGAAGCUGCGGCAGCGACGCUGAUGCGUUGUUGGGUAGGGGAGCGUUCUGUAAGCCUGUGAAGGUGUGCUGUGAGGCAUGCUGGAGGUAUCAGAAGUGCGAAUGCUGACAUAAGUAACGAUAAAGCGGGUGAAAAGCCCGCUCGCCGGAAGACCAAGGGUUCCUGUCCAACGUUAAUCGGGGCAGGGUGAGUCGACCCCCUAAGGCGAGGCCGAAAGGCGUAGUCGAUGGGAAACAGGUUAAUAUUCCUGUACUUGGUGUUACUGCGAAGGGGGGACGGAGAAGGCUAUGUUGGCCGGGCGACGGUUGUCCCGGUUUAAGCGUGUAGGCUGGUUUUCCAGGCAAAUCCGGAAAAUCAAGGCUGAGGCGUGAUGACGAGGCACUACGGUGCUGAAGCAACAAAUGCCCUGCUUCCAGGAAAAGCCUCUAAGCAUCAGGUAACAUCAAAUCGUACCCCAAACCGACACAGGUGGUCAGGUAGAGAAUACCAAGGCGCUUGAGAGAACUCGGGUGAAGGAACUAGGCAAAAUGGUGCCGUAACUUCGGGAGAAGGCACGCUGAUAUGUAGGUGAAGUCCCUCGCGGAUGGAGCUGAAAUCAGUCGAAGAUACCAGCUGGCUGCAACUGUUUAUUAAAAACACAGCACUGUGCAAACACGAAAGUGGACGUAUACGGUGUGACGCCUGCCCGGUGCCGGAAGGUUAAUUGAUGGGGUCAGCGCAAGCGAAGCUCUUGAUCGAAGCCCCGGUAAACGGCGGCCGUAACUAUAACGGUCCUAAGGUAGCGAAAUUCCUUGUCGGGUAAGUUCCGACCUGCACGAAUGGCGUAAUGAUGGCCAGGCUGUCUCCACCCGAGACUCAGUGAAAUUGAACUCGCUGUGAAGAUGCAGUGUACCCGCGGCAAGACGGAAAGACCCCGUGAACCUUUACUAUAGCUUGACACUGAACAUUGAGCCUUGAUGUGUAGGAUAGGUGGGAGGCUUAGAAGUGUGGACGCCAGUCUGCAUGGAGCCGACCUUGAAAUACCACCCUUUAAUGUUUGAUGUUCUAACGUUGACCCGUAAUCCGGGUUGCGGACAGUGUCUGGUGGGUAGUUUGACUGGGGCGGUCUCCUCCUAAAGAGUAACGGAGGAGCACGAAGGUUGGCUAAUCCUGGUCGGACAUCAGGAGGUUAGUGCAAUGGCAUAAGCCAGCUUGACUGCGAGCGUGACGGCGCGAGCAGGUGCGAAAGCAGGUCAUAGUGAUCCGGUGGUUCUGAAUGGAAGGGCCAUCGCUCAACGGAUAAAAGGUACUCCGGGGAUAACAGGCUGAUACCGCCCAAGAGUUCAUAUCGACGGCGGUGUUUGGCACCUCGAUGUCGGCUCAUCACAUCCUGGGGCUGAAGUAGGUCCCAAGGGUAUGGCUGUUCGCCAUUUAAAGUGGUACGCGAGCUGGGUUUAGAACGUCGUGAGACAGUUCGGUCCCUAUCUGCCGUGGGCGCUGGAGAACUGAGGGGGGCUGCUCCUAGUACGAGAGGACCGGAGUGGACGCAUCACUGGUGUUCGGGUUGUCAUGCCAAUGGCACUGCCCGGUAGCUAAAUGCGGAAGAGAUAAGUGCUGAAAGCAUCUAAGCACGAAACUUGCCCCGAGAUGAGUUCUCCCUGACUCCUUGAGAGUCCUGAAGGAACGUUGAAGACGACGACGUUGAUAGGCCGGGUGUGUAAGCGCAGCGAUGCGUUGAGCUAACCGGUACUAAUGAACCGUGAGGCUUAACCUUACAACGCCGAAGCUGUU
rnacentral:rRNA from 1 species